rnacentral:rRNA from 1 species
UACGGGGGGGAGCAAGCGUUGUUCGGAUUUACUGGGCGUAAAGGGCGCGUAGGCGGUCGUGACAAGUCACUUGUGAAAUCUCCGGGCUUAACUCGGAACGGUCAAGUGAUACUGUCGGACUAGAGUACAGAAGGGGCAACUGGAAUUCUCGGGUGUAGCGGUGAAAUGCGCAGAUAUCAGGAGGAACACCUAUUGCGAAGGCAGCUCGCUGGGACGAACUGACGCUGGAGACGCGAAAGCGUGGGAGCAAACAGG